ACGGGGGCCCGCACAAGCGGAGGAACAUGUGGUUUAAUUCGAUGAUACGCGAGGAACCUUACCUGGGCUUAAAUGUAGAGUGCAUUUUUUAGAGAUAGAAAUUCCCUUCGGGGCUUUCUGCAAGGUGCUGCAUGGUUGUCGUCAGCUCGUGCCGUGAGGUGUCGGGUUAAGUCCCAUAACGAGCGCAACCCUUAUCGUUAGUUGCCAUCAUUCAGUUGGGCACUCUAGCGAGACUGCCGGUAAUAAACCGGAGGAAGGUGGGGAUGACGUCAAAUCAUCAUGCCCCUUAUGACCUGGGCUACACACGUGCUACAAUGGUUGGUACAACGAGUUGCGAGUCGGUGACGGCGAGCUAAUCUCUUAAAGCCAAUCUCAGUUCGGGUUGUAGGCUGCAACUCGCCUACAUGAAGUCGGAAUCGCUAGUAAUCGCGGAUCAGCACGCCGCGGUGAAUACGUUCCCGGGCCUU
rnacentral:rRNA from 1 species